GGGUUGUGAGGUUAAGCGACCAAGCGUACACGGUGGAUGCCCUGGCAGUCAGAGGCGAUGAAGGACGUGCUAAUCUGCGAAAAGCGCCGGUAAGGUGAUAUGAACCGUUAUAACCGGCGAUGUCCGAAUGGGGAAACCCAGUGUGACUCGUCACACUAUCAUUAACUGAAUCCAUAGGUUAAUGAGGCGAACCGGGGGAACUGAAACAUCUAAGUACCCCGAGGAAAAGAAAUCAACCGAGAUUCCCCCAGUAGCGGCGAGCGAACGGGGAGGAGCCCAGAGCCUGAAUCAGCAUGUGUGUUAGUGGAAGCGUCUGGAAAGGCGCGCGAUACAGGGUGAGAGCCCCGUACACAAAAGCGCACAUGCUGUGAGCUCGAUGAGUAGGGCGGGACACGUGGUAUCCUGUCUGAAUAUGGGGGGACCAUCCUCCAAGGCUAAAUACUCCUGACUGACCGAUAGUGAACCAGUACCGUGAGGGAAAGGCGAAAAGAACCCCGGCGAGGGGAGUGAAACAGAACCUGAAACCGUGUACGUACAAGCAGUGGGAGCCCCACCACUAAGCCAGUGGUGAACUCCACAUACGCAUCCUUUGCGGAAGAUGCGGUUAACGGCGCGCAAGCGACGUUCAACCUCAGAAGAAGCAGAGGGGGCUUAGUGGUGGGGUGACUGCGUACCUUUUGUAUAAUGGGUCAGCGACUUAUAUUCUGUAGCAAGGUUAACCGCAUAGGGGAGCCGAAGGGAAACCGAGUCUUAAUUGGGCGUUAAGUUGCAGGGUA
rnacentral:rRNA from 1 species